CCUACGGGCGGCAGCAGUGAGGAAUAUUGGUCAAUGGACGAGAGUCUGAACCAGCCAAGUAGCGUGAAGGAUGACUGCCCUAUGGGUUGUAAACUUCUUUUAUAUGGGAAUAAAAUGUUCCACGUGUGGGAUUUUGUAUGUACCAUAUGAAUAAGGAUCGGCUAACUCCGUGCCAGCAGCCGCGGUAAUACGGAGGAUCCGAGCGUUAUCCGGAUUUAUUGGGUUUAUAGGGAGCGUAGGUGGAUUGUUAAGUCAGUUGUGAAAGUUUGCGGCUCAACCGUAAAAUUGCAGUUGAAACUGGCAGUCUUGAGUACAGUAGAGGUGGGCGGAAUUCGUGGUGUAGCGGUGAAAUGCUUAGAUAUCACGAAGAACUCCGAUUGCGAAGGCAGUUCACUGGACUGCAACUGACACUGAGGCUCGAAAGUGUGGGUAUCAAACAGGAUUAGAUACCCUUGUAGUC
rnacentral:rRNA from 1 species